UCCUCCCUCUUUCUUCGUGCUUAACACAUGCAAGUCGAACGGAAAGGCCCUGCUUUUGUGGGGUGCUCGAGUGGCGAACGGGUGAGUAACACGUGAGUAACCUGCCCUUGACUUUGGGAUAACUUCAGGAAACUGGGGCUAAUACCGGAUAGGAGCUCCUGCUGCAUGGUGGGGGUUGGAAAGUUUCGGCGGUUGGGGAUGGACUCGCGGCUUAUCAGCUUGUUGGUGGGGUAGUGGCUUACCAAGGCUUUGACGGGUAGCCGGCCUGAGAGGGUGACCGGCCACAUUGGGACUGAGAUACGGCCCGGACUCCUACGGGAGGCAGCAGUGGGGAAUAUUGCACAAUGGGCGGAAGCCUGAUGCAGCAACGCCGCGUGCGGGAUGACGGCCUUCGGGUUGUAAACCGCUUUCGCCUGUGACGAAGCGUGAGUGACGGUAAUGGGUAAAGAAGCACCGGCUAACUACGUG
rnacentral:rRNA from 1 species